GGGUCGCAAAGAGUUGAACGUGACUGAACAACUGAACAACAGCAACAAAAUUUUUAUGAUGAUCAUCUAUAGCAUGUGAAGCCUAUUUUCCAAUUGCUACUGUAAAGUUAAGAUUCUUCUUAACAUAAAUUUUAUUUUAUUUUUCGGGAAGGUUUUAAGUUUUUAAACUAAUUUUUAUUGGAGUAUAGUAACUUUACAACGUUGAGUUAGUUUCUGUUGUACAGCAAAGUGAAUUCAGCAUAUAGCAUAUGUUUACAUGUAUCCCCCCCUUUUUUGGAUUUCCUUCUUAUUUUGGUCACCACAGAGCACUGAGUUCCCUGAGCUAUACAGUCGUUUCUCAUCAGUUAUCUAUUUUGUACGUAGUAUCAAUAGUGUAUGUAUGCCAAUCCACCUCCCCUCCAAACAGAAAUUUUAUAAAACAGAAAUUGGUGAGUUGAUUUAAGGAAAAAUGUGACGUAAAGAAGAGCACAGGUUAUACGGGGAUAUGGCAAACACGUGAGGGGUUUCCGUGAAGGACGGAAGUUUGUGGAGCCCUGGGUUUAAGGGCCAGAAGGGCGUGUCGGGGAGGCAGGACGGGCAGGGCUGGAAACGGCCUCCGUCGCUUUGUACACAGUUGGCGCCACAGGGACUGCUCCCGUAUUCGCCCGUCUGCGCCCCGGACCCCCCACGCCUUUCCCAUCCUGGCUCCAGGGCCACUUCCUUCACCAGACGUUCCCCGGUGGCUCCCCAGGUGACAGUUCCCUCUCCGCCUGCUCCAUCCCGAGUUCAUAGCAGGCAGCGGGGCGCUUCUGUCCUUUCAAAGCAGCACACACUGACUCAGUCUCGCGCUAGCACAGCACAGGGCGCACAGCAGGUGCUCCAUGGAUGCCGACUCUGAAUCAGCGCCUCGCUUACCAGGCUUGCCCAUGUGACCUGUUUCAACCUGAAACGUGAGAGAAAUGAAGUGUGUGACUUCUGUGGGACAGCUGUAAGGGUCAUUGUGCGGUUCUGCAUAUUCAUUUAUUCUCUGCCACAAAAGCAGCCAUGCUGCAGCAUAACCUAACCUAUCCUAACGGACACAGGCCAGAUACGCCAAACAGUCCUCUUCUCCCUUCCAAGCCACUGGGACCGGACUCUUUGCUUUCAGUCUUGGAUGUUGCUCAGGAGUGACAGUCUUAACUCAUACUGCCCCAGAGAAGGACAAGGCAGUGGGAUCCAGUGAAGAAGACCCCAUCUCAGUGUGUCUAACAAAUGUUCGCGGAUCACCUAUUAUGAACAGACAUUUUCAAGAUACCCAGUUGUAAUGAUGAAAACCUCGCCCGCUCCUGUCUGUCUCACGAUGCUCCGUGCGGCCGUGUGGGUGCUGUUUACAGCUCCAUCAAGUGUGUCACGUCCAUGAGCUGAUUUAGCGUCUACUGCCGCCCACCAGUGUUGUAGCGCUGUAGACCGGGGCUCAGAGAAGGAAGGCAACUUGUUCAAGAUCGUACAGUUAGUGAACGUAUUAAUAGUUGACCCAGGUGUUCUCUGCUUCUUUCUGUU